UACGAAGGGGGCUAGCGUUGCUCGGAAUCACUGGGCGUAAAGCGCACGUAGGCGGAUUGCUAAGUCAGGGGUGAAAUCCUGGAGCUCAACUCCAGAACUGCCUUUGAUACUGGUGAUCUUGAGUCCGGGAGAGGUGAGUGGAACUGCGAGUGUAGAGGUGAAAUUCGUAGAUAUUCGCAAGAACACCAGUGGCGAAGGCGGCUCACUGGCCCGGUACUGACGCUGAGGUGCGAAAGCGUGGGGAGCGAACAGG
rnacentral:rRNA from 1 species